UACGGGGGGAGCAAGCGUUGUUCGGAUUUACUGGGCGUAAAGGGCGCGUAGGCGGUCAGCACAAGUCAGUUGUGAAAUCUCCGGGCUUAACCCGGAAAGGUCAACUGAUACUGUGCGGCUAGAGUGCAGAAGGGGCAACUGGAAUUCUUGGUGUAGCGGUGAAAUGCGUAGAUAUCAAGAGGAACACCUGCGGCGAAGGCGGGUUGCUGGGCCGACACUGACGCUGAGGCGCGAAAGCCAGGGGAGCGAACGGG
rnacentral:rRNA from 1 species